GAAGGGACCUAGCGUAGUUCGGAAUUACUGGGCUUAAAGAGUUCGUAGGUGGUUAAAAUAGUUGGUGGUGAAAUCCCAGAGCUUAACUCUGGAACUGCCAUCAAAACUUUUUAGCUAGAGUAUGAUAGAGGAAAGCAGAAUUUCUAGUGUAGAGGUGAAAUUCGUAGAUAUUAGAAAGAAUACCAAUUGCGAAGGCAGCUUUCUGGAUCAUUACUG
rnacentral:rRNA from 1 species